CGAUGGAUAGAUGACCCUUGUAUGUGAUAGAUCAACAAGGUAUUGCGUAUUAAUGCAAAAGGGAAAAAUGUCUUUUGUUCUUGCCACUUUUGUUCUCAGACUCCUUUUUUCUGUGUGGCAGUCAAAGGGUUAAACUGCUAUUCUCCAUUAUGAGCAAACAAACACUCUGAUGGGGGUCCAUCAAUUUCUAGCCCUCCUGAUAUUGCUUUUCAGCUCUCCGAGAGGGAAGUUGUUGACCCCAAAAAUAUACAGCAUAGAAUAAUGCCUGCGAUUCUAAUAGAAGACACUAAAUGCCUUUGAAUGCUGGUGGGUUUUUUUUUUGUUCAUUUGGAUAAGUUAUAAACCUCCUGGUGAUUAUUUUUACUCCAGAUAAAGGAAGAAUCAUGCAAUUACACCUUAUGCUAGCAUCACCACAAAAGGAUAUUUUGUCUCAGUGGAGUACUCAAAUCAGAAACCUCUCAUGACAACGCUGUCUUCUGACUCGAGCGUAAACUACUGCAAGAGGGUUAAGCAUGGAGAUGGGAGAAAGACGGGCCUGUUUUAUUGGAACCAUAAACCUGCUGACGUCGCUUCUGUCUCCCCAGAAAGCCCUCCUCACAGGAGCCAUCCUCAGAACAUGCGUGUCUUGUGUAUGGCAAAGGAGUGGUGACCAACACGAAGGUCAUGAGGACGUCCUGCUGCCCGCUGUGGCUGUGCCCAUGGCAUUCGGCAGCCUGAUUACAAGCAGCGUAAGGAGUUGACAAGCGCCACUUAGUUACAGUUGGAUUAUGCACGACAGCUAAUCCCUGAAGAUAUGAGCCCUGCAAUUAGAUAAUGUGUUAGUUGCAUUAAAAAUAGAAGAGGAGUUAAAACCUACGGGGUUUUUGUAGCAUCUCAUGUUGUGAAGUGAAUGCUAAUUAUCAGAACUUUAUUGAGCUAGCUGAUAAUAACUAAUUAGUAUGGGCCUAAAGAGUGGGUGGCAUAGUGGGCAAUGGUUAUGAUUGCUGCCUUUCAGCACUGAGGCCCUGGGUUCAAUUCUGGACCUGGGGGCUGUCGGUGUGGAGUUUAAAUGUUCUCCCUGUGUUCACUGUGUGGGUUUUGUCUCGGCUUCAGUUUCCUCCCACAGUCCCACAGAAAAUGAUGGAUGUCUACAGAAUGUACGGCAGUCUAACGAGUUAAAAAAUAAUCGGAUGAAAGAGAUUAAUCCAUCCUUUAAGAUUCUUUAGAACCGGAAAAAAACAGCAGGACAGUAUCCCAACAGUGAAUCUGACACUUUUCAAUCAUUUAAAAAUGCAACAGCUUAUCCUGCAUUUGUUAUAUGGGCAGAGGCUUUUUUUUUAUAUAAAAAGGAGAGGCGAACAAGAUUCUUUUUCAGUUUAAGUGUUUUGGUCAUGUUUAGGCAAACACACAAGCGAAAAAUAGAAAAUGUUUGGUAUAUUUUAAAAUAAUCACGUUAACCAUGGGAAACGUUUGGCUAAACUCAUAAGCCUUUUGCCUUUGAAAAAUGAUUGCUUUCAAAAUUAUGUUUUACAUAUGCUGCAUUGGGCUUUUUAAAAAAAAAAAAACUGUUGCUGUACUAUGCCCAGAUGAUCCAGUUCUCCGUUCUGGGCUAAAGCAGGCACCCCUACCUUAAUAAGGAUGAGAGCAUGUGAGACGCUAGUCUCAGGUGAGCUAGGCAAUAUGGCUUUUCUCUUGUGAUUCACUGAUCUCCGGUCUCCUGAAUCACCCUUGAGACAGAAACGAAAGCAGCGCAAUGUUAACAGGAAAGUCAUGCAAGAAUUACAGGCAGUACCUGACGGGUUGAUCGCAGCCUCAUUCAGCCGUAGAUGAGGCACUGCCUCUUUCUUUUCCACUGUCUGAAGUCACGAUCCAGCUGAAUGGCUGAUGAUACAGAAGCCCUCUGAACGUUCGUCGGAGCCGCUCAGAGCUUUAAAGCCUGAGCCCCACACGUUCUGAACACCCCUCAAGUUCUGCGGCUGGAGGUUACUUUCCCAACGUCUUCGUAUCCUUCAGCUGACUUUGCCUUUCAUCAGAUGGGCUCUGUAAAGGAAGGGAAAGCACCUGCCUCCUGUAAGGUCACAGAUAAAAUAGGCGAGAGAAUCAUCCCUAAUGAAUCAAAAUGUUGGAUCAGAGGACUUUCAAACGGUGCCUUGGUAUCAUUUGAAAUAUAUUUUGUGUUGUUUUAAUUGGGGGGGAUAAUCAUACUAGGAACUGUUUUUUCAAAGGUUUUGUUGAAUUGCCUUCUGUGCAUAUCUAUCCAUUAACACCUGUCAGGACAGCGUUUAAAGAGCAAGCGUUUACCUUUUCAGUAGUCAAGGUUAACCGUGCCAUGCUGAUGAGCACUAACUGAGGGAGAAACAGCUGUCUGCGUCUGCUAAGUUUGACUAUUUAUAUACUGUUUUUAAGUCUGUUUUGAGGGCUCUGUUUUCUAAUAUUGUUGAAUGAUGAGCCAAUUAAUAAAAAGUCAGAG
rnacentral:lncRNA from 1 species